rnacentral:rRNA from 1 species
GGGUGACGGCGUACCUUUUGUAUAAUGGGUCAACGACUUAGUGUAACGAGCAAGCUUAAGCCGGUAGGUGUAGGCGUAGCGAAAGCGAGUCUGAACAGGGCGUUCAGUUCGUUGCAUUAGACCCGAAACCGAGUGAUCUAGCCAUGAGCAGGCUGAAGGUUGGGUAACACCAACUGGAGGGCCGAACCCAUAACUGUUGCAAUAGUUCGGGAUGACUUGUGGCUAGGGGUGAAAGGCCAAUCAAACUCGGAAAUAGCUGGUUCUCCGCGAAAUCUAUUUAGGUAGAGCGUCGACCUUAUACCCUCGGGGGUAGAGCACUGGAUGGGCUAUGGGGACUCACCGUCUUACUGAUCCUAACCAAACUCCGAAUACCGAGGAGUACUAGUCGGCAGACACACGGCGGGUGCUAACGUCCGUCGUGAAGAGGGCAACAACCCUGACCUCCAGCUAAGGUCCCCAAGUCAUGGCUAAGUGGGAAAGGAUGUGAGGAUCCCAAAACAACCAGGAUGUUGGCUUAGAAGCAGCCAUCAUUUAAAGAAAGCGUAACAGCUCACUGGUCUAAAUAAGGGUCUUUGCGCCGAAAAUGUAACGGGGCUAAAGCCAUGCACCGAAGCUGAGGAUUUGAGCUUAUGCUCAAGUGGUAGCGGAGCGUUCCGUAAGUCUGUGAAGGCGGACCCGUGAGGGCUGCUGGAGAUAUCGGAAGUGCGAAUGUUGACAUGAGUAACGAUAAAGGGAGUGAGAGACUCCCUCGCCGAAAGACCAAGGGUUCCUGCUUAAAGUUAAUCUGAGCAGGGUUAGCCGGCCCCUAAGACGAGGCGGACACGCGUAGUCGAUGGGAACCACGUUAAUAUUCGUGGGCCUGGUGGUAGUGACGGAUCUUGUGUGUUGUGCAUUCUUAUUGGAUUGGAUGUGCGGCGAAGAGGUUCCAGGAAAUAGCUCCACCGUAUAGACCGUACCCGAAACCGACACAGGUGGUCAGGUAGAGUAUACCAAGGCGCUUGAGAGAACUAUGUUGAAGGAACUCGGCAAAUUGCACGCGUAACUUCGGAAGAAGCGUGACCCCAUUUUAGGCAACUAUGAUGGGGUGGCACAGACCAGGGGGUAGCGACUGUUUAUCAAAAACACAGGGCUCUGCGAAGUAGCAAUACGACGUAUAGGGUCUGACGCCUGCCCGGUGCUGGAAGGUUAAAGGGAGAGGUGCAAGCUUUGAACUGAAGCCCCAGUAAACGGCGGCCGUAACUAUAACGGUCCUAAGGUAGCGAAAUUCCUUGUCGGGUAAGUUCCGACCUGCACGAAUGGCGUAACGACUUCCCCGCUGUCUCCAACAUAGACUCAGUGAAAUUGAAUUCCCCGUGAAGAUGCGGGGUUCCUGCGGUCAGACGGAAAGACCCCGUGCACCUUUACUAUAGCUUUACACUGGCAUUCGCCAAGGCAUGUGUAGGAUAGGUGGUAGGCUUUGAAGCGCGGACGCCAGUUUGCGUGGAGCCAUCCUUGAAAUACCACCCUUAUCUUCGUGGAUGUCUAACCGCGGUCCGUUAUCCGGAUCCGGGACAGUGUAUGGUGGGUAGUUUGACUGGGGCGGUCGCCUCCGAAAGAGUAACGGAGGCGCGCGAUGGUUAGCUCAGACCGGUCGGAAAUCGGUCGUCGAGUGCAAUGGCAUAAGCUAGCCUGACUGCGAGACUGACAAGUCGAGCAGAGACGAAAGUCGGUCAUAGUGAUCCGGUGGUCCCGUGUGGAAGGGCCAUCGCUCAACGGAUAAAAGGUACGCCGGGGAUAACAGGCUGAUGACCCCCAAGAGUCCAUAUCGACGGGGUUGUUUGGCACCUCGAUGUCGACUCAUCGCAUCCUGGGGCUGGAGCAGGUCCCAAGGGUAUGGCUGUUCGCCAUUUAAAGCGGUACGUGAGUUGGGUUCAGAACGUCGUGAGACAGUUCGGUCCCUAUCUGCCGUGGGUGUAGGAAUAUUGACAGGAUCUGUCCCUAGUACGAGAGGACCGGGAUGGACGUAUCUCUGGUGGAUCUGUUGUCCUGCCAAGGGCAUAGCAGAGUAGCUAUAUACGGAAUGGAUAACCGCUGAAGGCAUCUAAGCGGGAAACCAACCUGAAAACGAGUGUUCCCUAUCAGAGCCGUGGAAGACGACCACGUCGAUAGGACGGGUGUGGAAGUGCAGCAAUGCAUGAAGCUUACCGUUACUAAUAGCUCGAUCGACUUCUUCGUUCCCAUU